GAUGAACGCUGGCGGCGUGCCUAAUACAUGCAAGUCGAGCGAACAGACGAGGAGCUUGCUCCUCUGACGUUAGCGGCGGACGGGUGAGUAACACGUGGAUAACCUACCUAUAAGACUGGGAUAACUUCGGGAAACCGGAGCUAAUACCGGAUAAUAUAUUGAACCGCAUGGUUCAAUAGUGAAAGACGGUUUUGCUGUCACUUAUAGAUGGAUCCGCGCCGCAUUAGGUAGUUGGUAAGGUAACGGCUUACCAAGGCAACGAUGCGUAGCCGACCUGCGAGGGUGGUCGGGCAACCGGGGACGGGAGAAAGGCCCAAACUCCUGGGGGGGGCAGCAGUAGGGAAUCUUCCGCAAUGGGCGAAAGCCGGACGGAGCAACGCCGCGUGAGUGAUGAAGGUCUUCGGACCGGAAAACUCUGUUAUUAGGGAAGAACAAAUGUGUAAGUAACUAUGCACGACUUGACGGUACCUAAUCAGAAAGCCACGGCUAACUACGUG
rnacentral:rRNA from 1 species